UGUGUUUGAGGUGAACUCCAACGACUUUUUAAACUCCUCACCGGAAGUGAUGAUGUGUUUCUCGUUCUCACAAAACUUAGUAAUUUUGUUUUUCAACCUAUCGGAUUGUUCGUGUGACUUUGCUUCUUUCCUGCUAAUGAGCUAACGGCUAGCUUUUGUAGAAACUUGAACCAACCUUAAUGAGGCGAGAGAUUUCUUUUGCCGUGAGCCGACCUUCUUCUUCACCCCGGGCCGAGACUUUCACCCAAGUCUCGCCGGUGGCACCGAACUCUCGUUUUGUAUUUCGUCAAGAUUCAAAUGACGGUGAAGAGUGUUGCCAGGGAUGCACAGGAUGCCAAAAUAUUAUCUCACUUCAUUUCUAAAGGUUAUUUUAGACCAGCCCACAGCCAGGACCUGUUUCUCCAUGAGCAAGCCCACACACAAACCAGUUUGAUGCCCGAGUGGCACAGACUUCUUCUCCCUGAUGACCUCGGGUAAAAGGAGGAUUAGAGAUGGAGAGGCAGGAAAUGAGAACUGGCCUCACACAAGAGCUGACUACGAGAAAGGUGGGUUUCUAACAUUUCAUUCCCCAACAUUUAUUACCUUCAAGUUUUUUUAUAUUUUAGAACAGAAGAAGGGGAGGUGUGUCACUAAAAGCAUGAGAUUAUGUGGUCGGAGCAUCAAACCUCCCAAGUGCCUCGUCGUUCUGCAAAUAGAGUUCACUCAGCAUGAUGAAAGAAUUUUCUGGAUUAAGAAACCCCUUCAGUCUGUAAGCCACCAGGAGUAGCAGAUAAACAAUGGAUGAAAGCCUCAGCAUGAGUGACAGCAGCAUGAUAAUGCAAGAUACAAGACAUCUUUAUAAAGCAAAGAAAUCAGGGGAGGACGCAGGAAACUAGAAUGACAAAUAUUCAGCAUCAGUCUGUGCAGAUGAAAAUGGCUUUUUUUCUCUUACUCUCCGGGUUACUCCGCCUUCUACAUGAGAAAAGUCGUGUUUCACUCAGGAAAAGAUCUGAAGUACUUCUAGCAAUAUUUUUUGCGGUAUAUACUUCUUCUUAGUGCUUGUCAUCUAGUAAAUAAUGAUUGUACUUUUCAGAUAUAAAGAAUUUCGAUCAUUUUUCUUUCACUAACGACAUCGUCCAGUAUGUUGGACAUUGUUGUUGUUUGUUUUUUUGUUGUUGUUGUUGUUUUUUUUUGUUUUUUUUUUGCUGUUUUUUUUUUACUAACUAGAAGCAACUCAGCAUGUGAUAUGUGAAGUCGUUGUGAAAUAAGCCACCUAGCACAGUAACAAACAUGAUGUUGUGGGAAUAAACUUGUCUCUGAGUCUCAUUGACAAUCACGCCGAUGGUUGCAUUUUAUAUCAGAUGGUCUUCAAAAGCUAUUAACAUUAGAAAUUUUAAUGUAGGUGU